rnacentral:lncRNA from 1 species
GCCCCUCCUCCCUCCCGGAGCGGCGCGGUGCAUGCCGCCGGCGAGGCGGAAGCGGAAGACGAAUGAGAAAAUAAGGGGGCGGGGCGCCGUGACCUCUGACCCGCGCGCACGUGGCCGGCGGCGGCGCACGCGGAGCGGCGGGAAGGAGCCAUGGAGCAGCGGCCUCUUCCCGGCGCGGCGGCGGCGGCGCCGGAGCCGGAGGAGCCGGGCACGGAAAGCGACGACCUGACAGACAGCGAGGAGAGCGUCUACUCCGGCCUGGAGGACUCGGGCAGUGACAGCAGUACCGAGGAGGAGGAGGAGGAGGAGGAAGAGGAGCCGAAGGACAGUCCGCCCUCGCAGGCGCACGAAAUUACUUUGGAACUUCAUUUAAACAUCUGACCUCCCAGCUGAUGCCAUUUUGCUCCAACAUCACUUGUGCCUUGCUGGCAGUGUGGACAUCUGACCUGGUGCCUGCAAAGCCUCAUGCUCGUCCUGAUCGGAUUUUCAGCCUUGUGUUACAGAAGACUUUGCUCUUUGGGAAUUGGCCUGUGACUGGGCACAUCAGUCAGGUCAAAGGGGCUCCUAGGAAGAGCAGAAACUUAGAGGCUGAUYCAGCGUUGAAGGAAAACCAGCAUCUGCUUCUUCAGAACGAAUAUGAGCAAGACAGCUCAGAUGAAGAGGCGCCCAGCUAAGAUACGAGCUAUGGUUCUUGUCCCUGCCUCGGAGCUCGGCUCAGGUGACCAGAGUGGGUGGUAUCUAACGGUGCUGUCUUGCAGCUCCAGCUCUCUGGACUGUCUCCGGAGCUGGGCCUUGGUCCAGCRUGCUCUGCUGAGAUGCCGUAGCCGGGCAGCAGGGAACCCGUGGUAGGAARCCGUGCGAGGAAGCCCUUUGCAGUGCCACUUCAGCAGCCCCGGCGGCUGUUCUGACUAGGAAUCCCCCAAAAUAAAUAAACUGAUAAAUGCUUUAAAGAAAUCCUG